UUUUGUUUAUGUGCGUAGUUAUCAAACUUAAAACACCAAUCUUCUAAUUUAUUAGUUGUUUUAUAUUUCAUUCUAGUACAUUAUAAAUAGAUAAAGGAAUCCAAGGACAGAACAAAGAAGAAAUCGCUGGUUAUCAAAACAGGCUUGUCACAUUUGCACAUAAUUAUAACAAUUGACUUUUUUAUGUCAUUACUCAAGUUGAACCAAUUUGUGGUGCAUAUUCCUUUUGAUACACUCAAAAACUGGAAAUAAAAAGGUUAACAUAUCGGCGCAGAAGCACGGGAGGAACACUUGAAAGCAUUUGGUGGUUAGAAAUCCAGAAUAACCUACAAAUUCCAUGGACAGUCCCUUUGUAUGCGACAUUAAAAACGCCAGAGUGCACAAAAUGACUGAGCUUACAGUGUACUGGACGAAUAUUAUGCUGGAGAAUAUUUUGUUCAUGAAUUUAAUCAACCUGGAAAAUAAAAAUGGAUAUUAUUUUAUGUCAGCUGGCACUCUUGAGCGGCCAUAUUGUCCUUAAGCCGACUAACAUCUUCUAAUUUUGUGACCAUAACCCCAAAUCGGUGCUUUAAGAUAUGAAUUUGCGCACAAAGGUGGCAAAAAACAGCCGACAUUAAAGGAUCAAAAGCCAAAUCUACAGCGGCGGUGCUGUAAAUCCCGUACAUUUGCAA